UGGGGAAUAUUGGACAAUGGGGGCAACCCUGAUCCAGCAAUUCUGUGUGCACGAUGAAGGUCUUCGGAUCGUAAAGUGCUUUCAGCAGGGACGAAGUCCUGACUGUACCUGCUAAAGAAGCGACGGCUAAAUACGUGCCAGCAGCCGCGGUAAUACGUAUGUCGCAAGCGUUAUCCGGAAUUAUUGGGCAUAAAGGGCAUCUAGGCGGCUUCGCAAGUCCGAGGUGAAAACUAUUGGCUCAACCAAUAGCUUGCCUUGGAAACUGCUUUGCUAGAGUAUUGGAGAGGUGGACGGAACUGCACGAGUAGAGGUGAAAUUCGUAGAUAUGUGCAGGAAUGCCGAUGAUGAAGAUAGUUCACUGGACGAUAACUGACGCUCAAGUGCGAAAGCUAGGGGAGCAAACA
rnacentral:rRNA from 1 species